AUGACUCAAGUUCUCAUCACAUUUGUAGUCUCGUCUCUGUUACUUCAAGGUCAGUGCCAGGAUGUGACCCAAUACCCUGAAAUCAAUUGGAGUUAUGUUUCCAAAUCUGCAGAGAUGAACUGCAGCCACAACAAAGACGCCAGUCACAACCAGAUGUACUGGUACAGACAGCGUCCAGGAGAGACCAUGACCCUCGUGGUCUACACAGUUUUUGGUGGACAGCCAGACUAUGGGGUGCUCCCUCAAACCAAAUAUUCAGCCGUCAAAGACAACAUAGCGAGUGGGGCUCUUAUUGUGAAAGACUUGCAGCUUGAGGACGGUGGUGUGUAUUUUUGUGCCGUCAGCAAACACAGUGAUGUGACAAGUAUAAGCAGCUGA